rnacentral:rRNA from 1 species
UACGUAGGGUGCAAGCGUUACUCGGAAUUAUUGGGCGUAAAGCGUGCGUAGGUGGUUCGUUAAGUCUGAUGUGAAAGCCCUGGGCUCAACCUGGGAACUGCAUUGGAUACUGGCGGUCUAGAGUGCGGUAGAGGGUGGCGGAAUUCCCGGUGUAGCAGUGAAAUGCGUAGAUAUCGGGAGGAAUAUCCGUGGCGAAGGCGGCCACCUGGACCAGCACUGACACUGAGGCACGAAAGCGUGGGGAGCAAACAGG